GAUGAAGAACGUAGCGAAAUGCGAUAAGUAAUGUGAAUUGCAGAAUUCAGUGAAUCAUCGAAUCUUUGAACGCACAUUGCGCCCGCCAGUAUUCUGGCGGGCAUGCCUGUUCGAGCGUCAUUUCAACCAUCAAGCCCCAGGCUUGUGUUGGGGACCUGCGGCUGCCGCAGGCCCUGAAAACCAGUGGCGGGCUCGCUGUCACACCGGGCGUAGUAGAUUUUAUCUCGCUCAGGGCGUGCUGCGGGUUCCGGCCGUUAAAAAGCCUUUUUUACCCAAGGUUGACCUCGGAUCAGGUAGGAAGACCCGCUGAACUUAAGCAAUCAAUAAGCGGAGGA
rnacentral:misc_RNA from 1 species